rnacentral:rRNA from 1 species
UGCAGUAGAACGCUGAGACUGGUGCUUGCACUAGUCAGAUGAGUUGCGAACGGGUGAGUAACGCGUAGGUAACCUACCUCAUAGCGGGGGAUAACUAUUGGAAACGAUAGCUAAUACCGCAUGACAAUUAAGUACUCAUGUACUAAAUUUAAAAGGAGCAAUUGCUUCACUAUGAGAUGGACCUGCGUUGUAUUAGCUAGUUGGUGAGGUAACGGCUCACCAAGGCCACGAUACAUAGCCGACCUGAGAGGGUGAUCGGCCACACUGGGACUGAGACACGGCCCAGACUCCUACGGGAGGCAGCAGUAGGGAAUCUUCGGCAAUGGGGGCAACCCUGACCGAGCAACGCCGCGUGAGUGAAGAAGGUUUUCGGAUCGUAAAGCUCUGUUGUUAGAGAAGAACGGUAAUGGGAGUGGAAAAUCCAUUACGUGACGGUAACUAACCAGAAAGGGACGGCUAACUACGUGCCAGCAGCCGCGGUAAUACGUAGGUCUCGAGCGUUGUCCGGAUUUAUUGGGCGUAAAGCGAGCGCAGGCGGUUAUUUAAGUCUGAAGUUAAAGGCCGUGGCUCAACCAUGGUUCGCUUUGGAAACUGGAUAACUUGAGUGCAGAAGGGGAGAGUGGAAUUCCAUGUGUAGCGGUGAAAUGCGUAGAUAUAUGGAGGAACACCGGUGGCGAAAGCGGCUCUCUGGUCUGUAACUGACGCUGAGGCUCGAAAGCGUGGGGAGCAAACAGGAUUAGAUACCCUGGUAGUCCACGCCGUAA